rnacentral:rRNA from 1 species
UACGUAGGUGGCGAGCGUUGUCCGGAUUUACUGGGCGUAAAGAGCGCGCAGGCGGCUGGUCAAGUCCGAUGUGAAAGCUCCCGGCUUAACUGGGAAAUUGCAUCGGAAACUGAUCGGCUGGAAGGUGGGAGAGGGUAGCGGAAUUCCCGGUGUAGUGGUGAAAUGCGUAGAUAGUCGGGAGGAACACCAGUGGCGAAAGCGGCUACCUGGCCCAUUCUUGACGCUGAGGCGG